rnacentral:rRNA from 1 species
GACGAACGCUGGCGGCGUGCUUAACACAUGCAAGUCGAACGGUGAAAGUGGAGCUUGCUCCGCUGGAUCAGUGGCGAACGGGUGAGUAACACGUGGGCAACCUGCCCCUCACUUCGGGAUAACUCCGGGAAACCGGGGCUAAUACCGGAUAUGACCUCCUUGGGCAUCCUUGGAGGUGGAAAGUUUUUCGGUGAGGGAUGGGCCCGCGGCCUAUCAGCUUGUUGGUGAGGUAGUGGCUCACCAAGGCGACGACGGGUAGCCGGCCUGAGAGGGCGACCGGCCACACUGGGACUGAGACGCGGCCCAGAAUCCUACAGGAGGCAGCAGUGGGGAAUAUUGCGCAACGGGCGAAAGCCUGACGCAGCAACGCCGCGUGCGGGAUGACGGCCUUCGGGUUGUAAACCGCUUUCAGCAGGGAAGAAGCCGCAAGGUGACGGUACCUGCAGAAGAAGCACCGGCUAACUACGUGCCAGCAGCCGCCGUAA